AUGAACGCUAGCUACAGGCUUAACACAUGCAAGUCGAGGGGCAGCAUUUUAGUUUGCUUGCAAACUGAAGAUGGCGACCGGCGCACGGGUGAGUAACACGUAUCCAACCUGCCGAUAACUCCGGAAUAGCCUUUCGAAAGAAAGAUUAAUACCGGAUAGUAUACGAAUAUCGCAUGAUAUUUUUAUUAAAGAAUUUCGGUUAUCGAUGGGGAUGCGUUCCAUUAGUUUGUUGGCAGGGUAACGGCCCACCAAGACUACGAUGGAUAGGGGUUCUGAGAGGAAGGUCCCCCACAUUGGAACUGAGACACGGUCCAAACUCCUACGGGAGGCAGCAGUGAGGAAUAUUGGUCAAUGGGCGAGAGCCUGAACCAGCCAAGUAGCGUGAAGGAUGAAGGCUCUAUGGGUCGUAAACUUCUUUUAUAUGGGAAUAAAGUUUUCCACGUGUGGAAUUUUGUAUGUACCAUAUGAAUAAGGAUCGGCUAACUCCGUGCCAGCAGCCGCGGUAAUACGGAGGAUCCGAGCGUUAUCCGGAUUUAUUGGGUUUAAAGGGAGCGUAGGUGGAUUGUUAAGUCAGUUGUGAAAGUUUGCGGCUCAACCGUAAAAUUGCAGUUGAAACUGGGAGUCUUGAGUACAGUAGAGGUGGGCGGAAUUCGUGGUGUAGCGGUGAAAUGCUUAGAUAUCACGAAGAACUCCGAUUGCGAAGGCAGCUCACUAGACUGUCACUGACACUGAUGCUCGAAAGUGUGGGUAUCAAACAGGAUUAGAUACCCUGGUAGUCCACACAGUAAACGAUGAAUACUCGCUGUUUGCGAUAUACAGUAAGCGGCCAAGCGAAAGCAUUAAGUAUUCCACCUGGGGAGUACGCCGGCAACGGUGAAACUCAAAGGAAUUGACGGGGGCCCGCACAAGCGGAGGAACAUGUGGUUUAAUUCGAUGAUACGCGAGGAACCUUACCCGGGCUUAAAUUGCAACAGAAUAUAUUGGAAACAGUAUAGCCGUAAGGCUGUUGUGAAGGUGCUGCAUGGUUGUCGUCAGCUCGUGCCGUGAGGUGUCGGCUUAAGUGCCAUAACGAGCGCAACCCUUAUCUUUAGUUACUAACAGGUCAUGCUGAGGACUCUAGAGAGACUGCCGUCGUAAGAUGUGAGGAAGGUGGGGAUGACGUCAAAUCAGCACGGCCCUUACGUCCGGGGCUACACACGUGUUACAAUGGGGGGUACAGAAGGCGGCUACCUGGUGACAGGAUGCUAAUCCCAAAAACCUCUCUCAGUUCGGAUCGAAGUCUGCAACCCGACUUCGUGAAGCUGGAUUCGCUAGUAAUCGCGCAUCAGCCAUGGCGCGGUGAAUACGUUCCCGGGCCUUGUACACACCGCCCGUCAAGCCAUGAAAGCCGGGGGUACCUGAAGUACGUAACCGCAAGGAGCGUCCUAGGGUAAAACUGGUAAUUGGGGCU
rnacentral:rRNA from 1 species